AACGCGAAGAACCUUACCGGGGCUUGACAUCGGAGGACAACUCUAGAAAUAGAGCUUAGGGGCAACCCUACUUCCAGACAGGUGCUGCAUGGCUGUCGUCAGCUCGUGCCGUGAGGUGUUGGGUUAAGUCCCGCAACGAGCGCAACCCUCGUCGUGUGUUGGUCCACAAGAUCUCUCACACGAGACCGCCGGUGAGAAGCCGGAGGAAGGUGGGGAUGACGUCAAGUCCUCAUGGCCCUUAUGUCCUGGGCUACACACGUGCUACAAUGGCGGUGACAGCGGGAUGCCAGGUCGCAAGGCCGAGCCGAUCCCGAAAAGCCGUCUCAGUUCAGAUUGCACUCUGCAACUCGGGUGCAUGAAGGUGGAAUCGCUAGUAAUCGCGGAUCAGCACGCCGCGGUGAAUACGUUCCCGGGCCUUGUACACACCGAGACGAC
rnacentral:rRNA from 1 species